rnacentral:rRNA from 1 species
UACGUAGGGUGCAAGCGUUGUCCGGAAUUAUUGGGCGUAAAGAGCUCGUAGGCGGUUUGUCGCGUCUGCUGUGAAAACUCGGGGCUUAACCCCGGGCCUGCAGUGGGUACGGGCAGACUAGAGUGCGGUAGGGGAGACUGGAAUUCCUGGUGUAGCGGUGAAAUGCGCAGAUAUCAGGAGGAACACCGGUGGCGAAGGCGGGAUCCUGGGCCAGUACUGACGCUGAGGAGCGAAAGCGUGGGGAGCGAACAGG